UACGUAGGGGGCAAGCGUUGUCCGGAUUUAUUGGGCGUAAAGAGCGUGUAGGCGGCCAGAUAGGUCUGCUGUGAAAACUCGAGGCUCAACCUCGAGCUGUCGGCGGAAACCAUCUGGCUAGAGUCCGGAAGAGGAGAGUGGAAUUCCUGGUGUAGCGGUGAAAUGCGCAGAUAUCAGGAGGAACACCCGUGGCGAAAGCGGCUCUCUGGGACGGUACUGACGCUGAGACGCGAAAGCGUGGGGAGCAAACAGG
rnacentral:rRNA from 1 species